rnacentral:lncRNA from 1 species
CUCUACUCAUUCCUCAACUAAUGUACUUCUCCUUGUCUUGUAUUCCAUUUUUUUUUCUUUUUUAUGAUCAUUCCUUUUAAUGAUUCAGUUAAUUAUAUACCUUUAAAUAUUCAUCUUAUUUUCAGAAGUACAAAUCCUUACACAGUAGAAAUUAGUUCUGCCAUGCUCUGAUUUAAAGUAGGAGUGAACUCCUCAAAGGACCCAUGCUCUUGUCAUCUGGCUCUACUCUAUUGGAUAUAGUGUGGCUGACUGACCUUCAGAGGAAAAGAAGCCUCUUCUCAUUUGUGUAUCAUGAUUCCUGCUUUCCAUUCAACUAACAGAACAUCAUAUUGAGGUAUUUUUAAAUAAAGAUGAUGGAUCAUCUUUGAAAUUUUUAUUACCAAAUUAUAAAAAUAAUUGAAUGUUUACAUUAACCAAAUCAAAUGGAACCCUCUGGACAUAAUCAGUAAUCUGUGGCCUAGAAACUCAUUUUAGCAGUGGAGAAACUGCCUUGGAUUUAAUACGGUCAAUGCAGAGUCUACUUGAGAAUCACUAUAACUUAUCAUGUUUGUGUCUCUUUUUCAGCAAAUUGGAAUUUUAUUGUUUUUAAAGCUUCUACAUCCUUGAAUAAAAUGUAUCAUGUACAUAUUAAGUUUAUUGUUGCUUACAGGCAUGGAAAUAAAUGAUAUUUCCGUGGGGGCAAAAUAGGCUUUUCCAAAUUUCCUAAAUAAAAACGGUUUGAGAAAACAUCACUUUCCAGAAUACACUGAAGGAGCCCCAGAGGAAAACAAAAGGUAUUCAUAUUUGUACACUGAUGUCUAUUCAGUGCUCUUUUAAAUAGUCAGAAUGUCACAACUUCGGCAUUUCUAAGGGAACAUUCGGGUAUUCUAACCUGAUAGUUUCAAUUCCUUUUUAGUCUUUGUAA